rnacentral:rRNA from 1 species
CCUACGGGGGGCAGCAGUGGGGAAUAUUGCACAAUGGGCGCAAGCCUGAUGCAGCCAUGCCGCGUGUGUGAAGAAGGCCUUCGGGUUGCAAAGCACUUUCAGCGGGGAGGAAGGCGGUGAGGUUAAUAACCUCAUCGAUUGACGUUACCCGCAGAAGAAGCACCGGCUAACUCCGUGCCAGCAGCCGCGGUAAUACGGAGGGUGCAAGCGUUAAUCGGAAUUACUGGGCGUAAAGCGCACGCAGGCGGUCUGUCAAGUCGGAUGUGAAAUCCCCGGGCUCAACCUGGGAACUGCAUUCGAAACUGGCAGGCUAGAGUCUUGUAGAGGGGGGUAGAAUUCCAGGUGUAGCGGUGAAAUGCGUAGAGAUCUGGAGGAAUACCGGUGGCGAAGGCGGCCCCCUGGACAAAGACUGACGCUCAGGUGCGAAAGCGUGGGGAGCAAACAGGAUUAGAUACCCGAGUAGUC